AUACCUUCUCGGCCUUUUGGCUAUGAUCAAGUGUAGUAUCUGUUCUUAUAAGUGUGACAACUUAUAUGUUAGCUACUGCUAACUUGAACUGUCACAACAAUUUU
rnacentral:snRNA from 1 species